GCUCCUAUAGUCUAGCCCGGUCAAGGACGAUAGACUCUCACUCUAUUAACCCGAGUUCAAAAAUCGCGGCAAUAUUUGACGAGAAACAUCUCGUCAAAGCAUUGAAUGGCAAUUCAAAAUUUGCCAGCAAAGCUGUCAAUCUCGGUGGGAGCG
rnacentral:tRNA from 1 species